rnacentral:rRNA from 1 species
CCUACGGGAGGCAGCAGUAGGGAAUAUUGGGCAAUGGGCGCAAGCCUGACCCAGCGACGCCGCGUGAGGGAUGAAGGUCUUCGGAUUGUAAACCUCUUUCAGUAGGGAAGAAGCGAAAGUGACGGUACCUAAAGAAUAAGCACCGGCUAACUACGUGCCAGCAGCCGCGGUAAUACAUAGGGUGCAAGCGUUGUCCGGAAUUAUUGGGCGUAAAGAGCUCGUAGGUCGUUUGCCGCGUCGAUUGUGAAAAUCUGAGGCUCAACCUCAGACCUGCAGUCGAUACGGGCAAACUAGAGUGUGGUAGGGGAGACUGGAAUUCCUGGUGUAGCGGUGGAAUGCGCAGAUAUCAGGAGGAACACCAAUGGCGAAGGCAGGUCUCUGGGCCAUAACUGACACUGAGGAGCGAAAGUGCGGGGAGCGAACAGGAUUAGAUACCCUGGUAGUCCGCACCGUAAACGGUGGGCACUAGUUGUGGGAACCUUCCACGGUUUCCGCGACGCAGCAAACGCAUUAAGUGCCCCGCCUGGGGAGUACGAUCGCAAGAUUAAAACUCAAAGGAAUUGACGG